rnacentral:tRNA from 1 species
UCGUAACAAUGGAUAGCUCAUUGGUAGAGCCCUUGCCUGAUAAGCAAGUUGUAGCGGGUUCGAAUCCCGCUCCACGAA